rfam:Sphingobacterium psychroaquaticum strain DSM 22418 genome assembly, contig: LY64DRAFT_scaffold00013.13
AAGAAAGUAAAUAAGGGCACACGGGGGAUGCCUAGGCUCUCAGAGGCGAUGAAGGACGUGAUAAGCUGCGAUAAGCUUCGGGGAUUGGCAAAUGCGAUUCGAUCCGAAGAUUUCCGAAUGGGGCAACCUAACAUACUGAAGGUAUGUUGUAUAAUACGCGAACGCGCCGAACUGAAACAUCUAAGUAAGCGUAGGAGAAGAAAAUAAUAAUGAUUUCCCAAGUAGUGGCGAGCGAACGGGAAAGAGCCCAAACCGGUAUUGUUACGGCAAUACCGGGGUUGUAGGACCACGAUAUUGUAUUGUCGCUAUGAACUGGAAGCAGGUGGGAAACUGCGCGAUAUGGGUGACAGCCCCGUACAGGUAAAGAAUGACAGCAUAGUGGUAUCCUGAGUACCGCGGGACCGGAGAAAUCCUGUGGGAAUCCACCAGCACCAUCUGGUAAGGCUAAAUACUCCUGAGAGACCGAUAGUGAACCAGUACCGUGAGGGAAAGGUGAAAAGAACCUCGAACAGAGGAGUGAAAAGAACCUGAAACCGUGUGCUUACAAGCGGUCGGAGCUGGCAGGUCCAGUGACGGCGUGCCUUUUGCAUAAUGAGCCUACGAGUUACUCUUUACUGGCAAGGUUAAGUGGUUCAGCCACGCAGCCGAAGCGAAAGCGAGUCUGAAUAGGGCGCAUAGUCAGUAGAGGUAGACGCGAAACCUUGUGAUCUACCCUUGGGCAGGUUGAAGUUGCAGUAACAUGUAAUGGAGGACCGAACCGAUAAACGUUGAAAAGUUUCCGGAUGACCUGAGGGUAGGGGUGAAAGGCCAAUCAAACUGGGAAAUAGCUCGUACUCCCCGAAAUGUUUUUAGGAACAGCGUGGAUAUAAAGUCUAGCAGAGGUAGAGCUACCGAUUGGGUGCGGGGGAGUCAAAUCCUACCAAAUCCAGACGAACUCCGAAUGCUGUUAGAUAUGAUCUGCAGUGAGGCUUUGGGUGCUAAGGUCCAAGGCCGAGAGGGAAAGAACCCAGACCAUCAGCUAAGGUCCCCAAAUGUAGUCUAAGUUGAACUAACGAGGUCCGGUUGCCCAGACAGCUAGGAUGUUGGCUUGGAAGCAGCCAUUCAUUUAAAGAGUGCGUAACAGCUCACUAGUCGAGCGGCCGGGCGUGGAUAAUAAACGGGCAUCAAGAUUACUACCGAAGCUAUGGAUUUG